rnacentral:rRNA from 1 species
CCUACGGGAGGCAGCAGUGAGGAAUAUUGGUCAAUGGUCGCGAGCCUGAACCAGCCAAGUAGCGUGAAGGAUGACUGCCCUACGGGUUGUAAACUUCUUUUAUAAAGGAAUAAAGUGAGGCACGUGUCCCUUUUUGUAUGUACUUGAUGAAUAAGCAUCGACUAACUCCGUGCCAGCAGCCGCGGUAAUACGGAGGAUCCGAGCGUUAUCCGGAUUUAUUGGGUUUAAAGGGAGCGUAGGUGGGUUGUUAAGUCAGGUGUGAAAGUUUGGGGCUCAACCGUAAAAUUGCAAUUGAUACUGGCAGUCUUGAGUACAGUUGAGGUAGGCGGAAUUCGUGGUGUAGCGGUGAAAUGCUUAGAUAUCACGAAGAACUCCGAUUGCGAAGGCAGCUUACUAACCUGCCACUGACGUUGAGGCUCGAAAGUGUGGGUAUCGAACAGGAUUAGAUACCCUAGUAGUC